UCUGUCGCACCUCUCUAACCUAACACCUCGACCCCCGAACCUCGCGUAACCUAUAUUUUAUUUAUUUUUUUUUCCCCCGCAGCGGCGUGUUUCUUAUGUGUACGGCGUGUGUGCGCGCGCGGCUCAACAAAUUACCCGACCGCCAACCGAUGACUUGCCGGUCACUGCUGCCGACACCGCCGAUCUCUUCUUAUAUGAACGAGAAUCGGUGCCCGUAAUAAAAUGUUUUACUACUUCGAACUCGUAUUGUUCCAUACGGUUUUACGGCGUUCCCGCCCUACGAUUUCGGCCGAGACUUUCGCCACUCUCCGUCUUGUUUUGUUCGUCUUUAUCCCGCAGAGUCUGCUCUGAUAACACUCGUGUAUACUCGCGCCUCGGCGUUUUUGUAUUUUUAUCUUUUCAAAACGUUUAAUGAAAACUGUAAGAUUCGCCGGGACUCGUUCAAACGGUCACGUUGCAAAACCCGCAAGACGCAGUUCGGCCGCGGACACCAAACCGAGACAUUUUUAUUUAUUAUUUCGAUUUUUAUUUUAUUUUUUUAUCCGGCCGGAUGCGCUCGGACCCGCGCGUCGGAAUGUAUUAUCCCGUUAAAAUUGCCCAUAAAUUCGUGUCGUAAAGCAAUUAAAAACUUUGCGCGGACCUUUCCGCGCGUAUACUGUACACGUUCGCGUUGCCAGGCGGGUCGUAUUGUUCCCGGGCCAGACGACGAAACGGUCGGCGCCGUUUCCGACGACGACGACGACGACGACGACGGAGGUCCUAUACGGGGUCGGACCGUCCGCGCGCGUGUACACACCGCAGUUUAUGGCGAGUUUAUGCCGUUGUUGGCCCGCGGACGAAAGGUCCGCGACGGUAGGAUUCCGAGGGAAGAGGGGUGUAUCGCGCAAUCGCCGGUCCCCGAGUUUUUAUUAUUUUCGUGGAUUUCAGUCAGUCGGAAAAUGCACAAUAUAUAUUCGCAUAAUAUAAAUUACUGGUCGAAAUUUCGCCGGGCGUUUGCCGCGAGGCAAACGUUUUUGUAAAUUAAAAAAUUGCCACCCUCGCACCCUGCCCCCGUGCGCAGACUGCAAUAACGUAAUUGUGGACACUGUGGCGAUCUAUACAUAACAAUAUGUAUACGUCUUUAUUCCCGGGGCUAGAGUGAAUUUCUAGAAAAAAAAAAAAAAUGAGGAAAACAACGAAAAUGGGAAAAACAACGAAAAUGAGAAAAAUAACAAAAAUUACAGGAAAAAAUGUAUAAAAAAAAAAACACGCAUCAAAUUAACUUAAGUUCAUCUUCCUUGGAACCAAAGGUAUACAUAAAAUAAAAAAACUGACUAUCAACGCUCGGUUCAACCCACGGUCUUGAAACUUGAAAUUUUGCCCUGAACUUUCUCGUACAAUGUAGACAACCGUCAAGAAAGGAUUUUUAAAAAUUCGAAAAAUGACCGUAGAAAUAGCUGGUGCGGCAAAUCAUUGUCUACAUAUUGGUGACGCGACUUAUUGCCUAUUUUGAUCCAGUUCUUUUUCGAUGUACGACUAUCAAGAAACACCAUCCACGCGCAUUGAGAAAUUAUCAAUUAUUAUUACAUUAUAAAACAAUCGGGAUGUAUUUUCAGUCGGGUCGUACGAUAGUAAUAGCUAUCAACUGUAUAUAAAUAUAUAUAUAUUUAGCACAUUAGCCGAGUAAUUUACGGACAACAUAAUGAACAACAUUCAACAAAUGGUGGAUUAUGCGCAUAGACGAAAAUAGAACUUGAAAAUACAUAAGGCCAGAGCUCAAAAGGAUUUAGACCUACUAAAUUAAAUCGAACACUGUAGGUGGAGCUUGAGAUGGCUCAGGGAAGACUAAGCCUACUUGAACCCCGUUGUCCUGUUUACGUCUAUGACUAUGCGAAUAUAUCGGUCGCAGCAGGAAGAAUGUAAACUCUAUUUUUGACACUUAUCGAAGAGAAGGUGUUGCGAAAUUCAACGAUUGACGAAACAAUGCGGAUUCAACACUAAUAUACUUAACUAAUUAGGUAUAUUUUCGUUACGAAACUGCACACGGGGGGGGGGGAAAUACUGCUACUGUAGGGCGUCUCAUCGUUAUAUAGAUUAAAAAUAAAAUAUCGUUUUUCCUUUACCUCCACUCCCUUAAAAGCGGAUAAUUUACAAAAUAUUCAUGUAUAUAAAAUUUUAAUAUACAACCUGAUCAAGUUAUCAGGUGCCAAAGUUGUCUUAGAUUUAAAAAAAAUAAAAAUAGUUAAUUAAGGAAAACAUUUAAAGUUUAGGUCCAUUUUCGGCACUCGAUAAUUUUGCCCGAUUGUACUAAAAUAUGUACGUAUCAAUAUUCCAUUUAUAUAUAUUAAACGCUAUUAAGGGGGCGACGAAGAAAAAAAACCAAAAUUUUAUUCUUAACCUCCAAAACUAAGGGGUACCCUAAGUCCGCUGGUAAUCGUGUACACUUACAAAUGUAACCACCUAAAAGAUACCUAACGAGUAGCUCGGUGCACUGUUGUCGGGGUAAUCGUGCAAAUCCGGUCGUAUUUAAUUUAUCGUAAAAAUGACAAUAAAAAUAUCGCAUCACUACGCGCAACCUACACACAAAUCGCCGCCGCUCAACUACCUCGACGUUAUUGUAUUCUGAGAUGUUGUCCAGUUAUAUUUACAGUUUUACCACCCACGAUGACGUCAACGAAUAUCGGCUUGUAGCCAAGUCAUUUUUUUCGGGUUUUUUUUUUCUAGUAAUUAUUAUCCAUCGGGUAUCCUCAAGGGAUGGUCUAAAAAUAGAUAUAGUGUUCUGUCCGCUGUCUAAAACCGCUCUCGAACGCACGAUUAAAUUCGAAAUUAGUUUUGUUAACGUACACAACGCAGGACGUAGUUCAAAAGUAUAGAAAUAUCGAUCAGUAAAUACGGCGAUCCUCGACGGUCCAUCUACUCUAACUCGGAAGAACGUGAUUUAUGAGCGAGAAAAAAAAUGCCCCGAAGUAACAAAGGUGAUCGCGAGGGUAUUACGGCGAGUUUGAGAAGUUAACGUAAUAAUACGCGGUGAUUGGUAUAGACGACCAUCAUUCUUCUAUCCGUAUGUGUGUAUUUUAUUUUCCAAUGAAAUUUCAAUGAUUCAUCACCAGUGUAAUACUUCAAUAAAAAAUUCUAGAGCCGUUACGUUCCGAGACAACGCACAAAUGUCAACCCGCACUCGACGAGUAGCUACCUAUAGUACCUACUAUCCGUAACUCCGACAAUAUAGGAGGCGACCACGUUACAUAGGACCACGUCCGAAAGUAUAGUCACCGCACGAUGGCUCAGAUCGAUCGACUUCCCCCCCACCAUACCCAGAAAUUGUAUAAUAUUUUGUACACAAGUAUACGUUGAAUUUUUUAUUUUUUCCUCGAAAACGCACCUUUUCACACAAAUACGUUUAUAUUAUAUAAUAUUGUACGACGGGUCUUUUUUGAUUGAUGUCCAUAAUGGGUUUCAAGCGGAAAAGAAGUCACGACGGUCCUGUGAAAUCGAUCGCCGAACGAUUAUUAAUGACUGCGCACCAUAAUAUACCUAUACACACAGUAUCGUACGAAUAGUAUCUUAAAUGGGUACCUUUUUUGUAUUAAUCUCUCGUAUUAAUAAAAAUGGAAAAACAAAUCUAUAUAUAGGAACGAAACGGGAAGGUACAAUUGAAAAUGAUUUGAUGAGGUUACACCGAGUAAUGAUCCCAACUGGAAAGAAAAAAUAAAAAUGGACAGAGAUAAAAACUGGGUGUUGGGUUGGAGAUAUUAAAGGCCUAGAAACUAGAGAAUAAGAACAAGAAAAAUAUUAAUUUAUUAUAAUUAAAUUAUUAUAUAAUAAUUAAAAUGGAGUUUUCCUUUUAAAUAACAUAAUUUUACCAUCGUAAGAAUUUUUUUUUUUUUCAUUAUCUAACGAUUCUGAUUGGACAAUUUCAUUUCUCACGUCACAUAAUAAUAAUUGCAGUUUGACAAAACAAUACAAUACAACAAAACGAGGUUUUUUCAAUAAAUAUUAUAUGUAUUUGUAUUUCAGAAAGAACAAUACAACAAACAUCUGCAAUAUCAAUAAUAGGUUUUUAAUUAAAUAACGUUCAACGAUUUUCCAGUCGGUUACAUUUUUAAUUAAUUUGUUGGAUUUUUCCUUUUUUUUUUACGUUUGUUUCGGUUGAUUUCAUUUUACGGAAAUAGGUACAGUUAGAACGUUUAUUUUUUUCUCCUCCGUAAAACUAUUUAGUACCUACCUAUGUUUAACAUACCUAUUUAUACUACCCCCUACCCCACCAUUGAUUUGUUCAUUUCUAUAUACAAAGUGAUUGUUUUAUCAUGAGGAGGAUUUUAACGUUUAAGUGAAUUUUGUUUCUUUUUAUUUUAAUCAUUAUGGAAUCGUUUAAGCUUUAUUUUAACACUGUUUUUAACUUUUGCCCCUACUCUUUACACCUGUAGAGAGUAUCUAAUUCGGAUUUAUUACAUUUAGGAGUUAUAUUUAGGUUUAAUGAUGGGUAAUAAAAUAUAUAUCUAAGUUAAAACGAACAAUUCGUAACUCUUCCAUACUCUUCUAGUCUAAAAUUUAAACGGCUAUAAACUUAUCAAUCAUAAACAGUAAAUCUGAUAUUGGUGUUAUUGCAUACCAGAAUGUCUAGAAAAAUAUUCUCUAUUCGAAUCAACUGUUCAAAAUCACAUUUGAUAUUCAAAAAUAAAUACUAUUUUUGAGGUACCUACACGAAACAAGAGUAUAACAUUAAAAACGGUUUUGAAAUAAAACUUAAUCGAUUCCGCAACAAUUAAAAAAACAAAACCCGAAAUCAAAUUCAUUUGAAAUCCAACGAGAAAAUUGGUGGUGCGCGAUGCGAGAAUUAUACAUUUAUUUAUGCAUAUAUUAUUAUAUGUAAACCUAUGCGACCGCAGAUUAUGGUUUAAAUAAGAUUCAAAUAAGAUUCACGGUGGCAGCACCAGCAGCAGGCAGCAGCUUUAACGCUGAAUCCGCGAAAUGUUAUCGACUCGGGUAUAUAUAUAUAUAUAUAUAUAUAAAAAAAUAAUAAUAAUAAUCAAAAAAAAAUUGGGGCGAAUUCCAAAAACAAUGCGGUAUUCUGGCAAGAUGCCUUCGGCGUGCGCGCACAUUAUAGUAGUACAGUAGUAUAGUUACUUAUUUAAUUUACUUAUCCGCCGUGUAACACCUGUUCUCACCCAAGGAUUCUGGCACAGGUUUUAUUACAUUAUCGUUACAUUAUUAUUAGGCUGCCCUCCCCCCUCUUGGUUCCGUUUAGUUUAUAUAUAUAUAUAUAUAUAUAUGUAUUUUUUUUUAUCGAGAACUUUUACACUGGUAAUUUUUAUUUACAACGAUAAUAAUGAAAUAUAUCGUAUUGAAAAUUUGAAAUAUUAUCGUUACAAAACGCGUGCGAUUUUAAUCGCACGUCGGCUCCAUAAUACAAUACACUAACAUAACCGCGCGUACGCCUAUAAUACACGGACAACGGUGCUCCCAUAAAUUGUUUUGAGAGUAUAUUAUUAUUAUUAUUAUUGUUAUUAUUAGCCGUAUCCCGGUACCAUACAAGUGGGAUAUUUUGUAUCUUCCUUAUGAUUUAUUAUUGAUACUUAUAUACAGUGGCGACUCGAAGUAUUUUACCUUAAAUCACCGAUCUACUUUUCCGCCCACCCAUUCCAACACAAAAUACCCCCACCCUACUGCUAAUGUAUUGAAAUUCAACCAACCCCAAUAAAAUUCGUCAAGUUUAUUAAUUUUCCGAAGUCUAAAAUUCUUUUGAUGAAUUUUAUGUUGUAAAAACACAAUAUCUUUUGUCGGUUCAUUCCCACGUCGUCGAUUCCCAUUUUGCCGAAAACAUUUUAUUUUGUUAAUACUUACUUGUGACGUACGUUCCUUGAAAUACUCAUAAUUCCGUCCUACUAUAGCUCAUGACUUAUGUUAAAACAACUCGUUUUCAUUGUCGUUUUUGUUGGGAUUGCACUAGUUUUCUACCGUUGGUUACCUAUAGCUAUUGUUAAAAGUGUCUGUUUUUUCAAUAAUACUAAAUAUAUAUAUUUUUUUACUUACGCGUUUGCGGCGCUGGAAUUUUUUUAGUAAUAAUAAUUUCUUUGCGGCAAUAAUAUUUCAAUUCAAAAUAAUAAGAUAACCGAUUUAUGUGUCGACGAAAUGGGAUGUCGGCCAAAUAGGAGUCGGCGACGUGAGAAAACACGUUUUUGUCAUAUUUCUGAACACCUAGGCACCCAUGACCCACCCACCCGUUUUUUUGUGAAUCACGUAAUUCAAAUGUACCCUUUUCGGGCCGCCACUGCUUAUAUAUACUAUUCGUGGGGAAAUAAUAAGUGUAGAUACACAAAAAUUAAAUCGAAAUAUAAACAUUCGAAAUGAAAAUAACAAUAACAAUAAUAAAGUUGGUUUUGCAAACCGUGAAAAAAUCUUGAAUUUUUCAAUUAUAAUUACUGAAAUGAAUACAAUUAAUUAGUAUUACAGUAAUGCUGUACCGUAAACGAUACGAAUGGACAGCGAAAAGAUAUAUCAUGAGUCUAGGGAACGAAUUUGUGUACACUUAAAAUCCACAAAAAGGCGUUUGUAAACGGCCAAAAAGCACGUACAAAAUAUUUAAAAAGCGAAAAUGGUGGAGGUUUAAAACUCUAACGGCUCUAACUUAUUAAACACAAUUGUCUAAUACCUUUUUAUAUAAGUUUAGGGCUGUUUGAAGGGAGACUUUUAUUACCCCUCUACUGUUAUUGCUUUUUGAAAAUACUCUUUUGAAGUGCAUUCGCAGGGGUUUUUUCGACUGGUUUUAGCGCAUUUUUCCGCAUUAAUGACGAUUUUGCUCGUUCUAAAAUCUAUUCGAGAAUAUUCGCAGUAUACCCGCGAUUUUCCAACAGAACUAUGAGUAUACGGCGUACAUUAUUUACAGUGUACCCCGUGGAAAGCCCACUUUUGCAUACCGCGUGUAUGUAUACCAUAUUAAGCAGUUUCUUCGUUUUAUAGACGAACACGAUGAUAUUAUAAUACGCAUAAUAUCGGUUUAUUACAAUAAUAUUGUGGGGCGGAUUUUCACGAAAACCAAUUUCAUUAUUUUCGAAUCACUCGGGAAAUGCAAUACAAUAGAUAUUACAAAACAUAUAUACAGUAUAUACGUAUAAUAAUACACCGGUACGUAGGUAUUACAGUAUAGCGUGCGUACGUUUUGUCGCAAUACUUGAAAUAUUGUUUCCGGAUAACAUAAUAAUUAGAUUUAUGCAUAUCAAAAAAAAAUAUGUAAAACUCCCGUGCGAAUAUUCAUCCGCAAUAACAUAACACGAACGUUUUCGAGGAAUACGUACCCAUGAUAAUAUAUUAUACCGGCUUUAUGCCAUCACAAUGAAACACCAUCGUCAUAUGGUCCCGUCUAAUUUUAUUACACUUAGCGUUUUCGACACACAAUUAAAGUGAACCGUAUGUAAUUUCAAAAACUCAUGUGGCAUACAAGAAUAUAGAUAUUUUUUUUUUUCUGUUCGUCGACCAUCAGUGUUCUAGAAAUUCUACGAUUCGAUAAUAAAUUGAUAUUCUACACGUUACUAGAAACUUCAAACGCGCUGCAGUUAUAUGCGGUUAUGUAGUCUUAUACGCCUUCGGCCCGUGACCCAGCGGUGUUAACCAAAAUUUUGUACCGGGUAGACUAAGAAUGAUUUUGCUUAAAUCAUGAGCGUAUGGGUAACGGGAGGUUUAGAGGUGUUCAACUGGGAAAAAUGUAAAAAAAAAAAAUUAUGAUGAAUUGUGAACAUAAUAUUAUUAUGUGUGUUAUCUGGAAAUAUCUUGCGGUAACUAUUUUUCUAUGUAAAACACCCUCCUAACAGCUACAUCCUUCUAGAAGUAUUUUGAGCAAAGGUAGUAAUUAUAUAAUUUACAUUGAUGGCUUUUUAUUUACCUAGCCUAACUAUAUAUAAUAUUGAUUAUCUUUUAAUUUUUUUUUUUCUAACCUAAACUAAUAUAACCAAACUUAUCUGUAAUAGCGAUUUAUAUACACGAAGAGUUCAAGGAAAAAAACAGGACUUUUUAGCGAAUAUAGACGAUUUGUAUGGCAUAUAUUUUGAUUAUUAUUAUGCGUUUCGAACACAAUUUAAUUCUGUUUAUUAAAUUUCAAAGUUCAACUUAAUCCGACAUUUUUUAAAUUAAAAAUAUGUUUUUGUCAGAUUGUAAAAAAAUUGACUUAUCUGGUUUCUUCCUCGCGUCCUUAUUUAUACGUUGUAAUACAUAUUUUUGUGUUUUACAAAUAAAACUGCAACAAUACAUCUGCAGUAUUCAGACUUAAUAAAUACUGACGGUAAUAAUAAUUGGCUGUACGACAAAACAGUAUGUUAUAUGUUUAGUUCGGGUAUAUUUACUUCUAUUUUUUUUAUGUAUAUAAUUUACGUAUAUUAAUAUAAUAUUUCGGUUAAUAUUAUAAACUGUUUUCGCAUCUAUAUAGUAUAUAUACAUAAAUAGAUCUUAGGAUUUAAUAUUAAUAUAUACAUUUGUAUAUUACCGCCUAAUAAUAUGUGAUAAUAUUAUAUUAUUAUUAGGGUAGAAAGAGAGAGAAAAAAAGUGUAAUUAUUAAAUGGAUAUUAACUUUAAUUAUUUUAUUUUUUAUCAGAGGUAAUUUUUUAAAAAAAAUUUUUAUAAGUAUUGCGUGUCACAUUGCGUAAUACAGUUACGUGAAGUGGGUUUUUAGGCGAAAUUAGCCGAACGUCUCGGGUCGUAUAUAGAAUCCUGCAUACGAGCCGGGACAGAGAAACAAAAAAAAAAAGUAGGUAAGUACCCAAUGUAUGGAAUUUAAAACAAAUUAAAAACUUUAAGGCAAUAAUAUUGUUAGACCAAAAGUAAACAUUGAACACCAAAAAUUAUCUUUGUAGGUAACUGAUAACAGUUAAAAAGUUGUAUAGAGAAGUUUGAAAACUGUCCCGGAGUUAUAUUAUUAUGUGCUUGACGGUAUAUGAACUUUAAUAUGUGAAAAUAAAAUAUAAUAAUUAUUGUAAUAACAUUACGAUAAGUACGUUAUUAUGUCGUUCGCUCGACUUACCGUAUAGAUUCGUCUUCACGCGGAAAAUGUUUGUUACGUUCGUAAAAUCAUAAAAUAAUUAUUAUAAAAAAUGAAAAAGAAAAAAAAAAUCUAUACAAAGUCAAUGUUAUAUGUUUGCGUCAUCCGCACAAUGGCAAAUAAAUAAAAAACACCACUAUUUGAUCAUAUCGAAAAAUAUUAUUAUUAUUUUUAUUAUAUUAUAUUAGAGAAGCAAAAUGUAUUUAUUUUUAUUAGUCGCCGAAAUGUACUCGUAAUUGUGUUAUUAUCUCUAUUGUGUAACAACGUUAAAAAUAUAUAUCGUACAUUAUAUAACACAUUACAUUAAAGAAAAAUAAAAAAAAACGUGUCUCGGGUAUACUUGUACAUGUUGCAUUGCGCAUUAUUUCUGACGGUACGGUGUACAAGGCAAACAUUUGAUUUCAACAUUAUUAUAAUUAUUAUUGUUAUUAUUAAACGAAUUGACUUAGAAUCCAAUCAAUCGCAAUCAAUAUUGUAUUAUUAAACUAUUAUUAUUAUUAUUAUUAAUUUGUAUUAGAAUGUUAUAAUUAACGACGGUGACGUUGUUGUACCAUAAUACGUUAAUCGUCGAUUAAUACUCGUGAUAUAAGAGUAUGAUAAUUUAUACGAAUACAAUUAUUAAUAUUAUUGUUAUUCCCGUCACGCGGGAAUCGGUUUCGUUUCGACGUUUGAAAAAAAAAAAAAAAAAAAAGUCUGUACGUAAAGCGGUACGAGAUCAACGCUCUUCGGGCGUUUAAAUCUCGGUGAAAAUAUUCUAAAUUUUUUUUUUUUCUCUAAACACAUAAGUGUAUAAGUGUAUACCUAAGUACUAUAAUAUAAUAUUGUGUCGUCCGUGUCAAUGAAUUUAUUGUUGCGAUACUGUUUUGUUUUUUUUUUUUUGUCUUUUUCGACUAGACUUUUAUAAUAUAAGGCCAUCAUUAUAAUAUUAUUAUGACAUGAUAAUACUUAUAUUUCAAUUGAUUAUAAUACUACAUAAAUUAAUAAUAAACACUUUUAACAAUAAUUUUAAUAUUACCGAUAGUGAAAAAAACAAAACAAAACAAUUUUAUAUCAUAAUAUUAUAAUAUACAUAUUAUAUAUCACGAUAAAAUAAUAUUUUUCUCUCGUUAUUCAAUACUUAAAAUUAAUUAUAAUACUAUUAGUUUUGUCUUAUAUGGCAAUAAUAUUAUAGUGAUUUUGAUAACUAAAUUAUUAUAUUUCGUAAUUAUAUAUUGUAAUAACAUACUUGCUCUAAUUCUCAAAGUUAUAGAUAUUCUAAACUAUACAUUAAUUUAUUAUGAUAUUAUACAAAUAUACCGAUAGAAAAAAAAAAAUAUUGAUAAGUAAAACGUGUCAGUAUGUUACAAUGAAUUUGUUUAUAUACCUAUAUAUACCUAUAUAUAUAUAUUAUUAUGUUAUACUAUCUAUAAAAUAUUCAAAACUUAAAAUUCAUUAUUUAAUUAGUCAUUAAAUCGUCGCGAACGGUGUACGUAAUUAAUUAUGUAUCAUUUUUUUAUCGCGGGUGUGUUUUCCAUAAUAGGUGAUAUUAAUGUUAUAAUAUCGUUUCACGAAUAAACAUUUAAAAAAAAAAAAAAAUUGUUUUUUAAUAUUAUAGGUGUCUUGUACGUAUAGAUAAUAAUAUAUAUUAUAAUAUUUGCAAUGAUCUUAUUUUAUUUUAUUUUUUUAGUCUUAUCGAUAGAAAUUAUAAAUACUGAUCUAGAUAUACCUAAUAAUACUAUUAUAAUAGUAUUAUUACGUAUUAUAAUACGCCUAUCAUGUAGAAUAUUAUUAAAUACUAUAUGUACUUUUAAUCAAGCAAAAAAUUAUUAAAAUUUCAAUUUGUCGUUAUUUAUUAUAUUAUAUAGGUAUCUAUGUAAAUUGAAUGGAGUUAUGCAGGAAGCAUAACCAUCCAACAAUGUUGUGAAAUAACUAGUUUUGAAUAAGCACUAUAAUGUAAUAUGUAAUAUAUUAGUAAAUAAUAUGAACAUAGGCGCCAAGUUUUUAAAAUGUCGUUGGGGGCUGGACUUUUUAAGCUAAUUUAAUUUGAAAUAUUUUUCCAAAAACAUGAAAUUAAAAACAAAUUUAAAAUAUGCACUACCUAUUUUGAAUAGGUUUUGUCAUUCAAUAACAAUUUAAUUUGUAGGUAAUACAAGUAAAAUUUACUUUUGUCAAGAAACUAUUAUCAUUUAUCAGUUAUCAUCAAUAUGCACCCCGUGUAUCACUGGCGUGGUAUUAUCCACGUGAAACUUCAAGUAUUUGUAACCGUGUUAUGAACAAAUUAUUCGUGAUAAUAGGGGCUGAACAAACAAUUUUUAUCGUAAUAGUUUAUUUUAUCAAACAACAAUAAUAUUUUUAAUUUCUGGUGGUAAACUUCGUUAUUUUAACAUUAAGAAUAUAUUUUUUACAUAGUCGUUAGCAUAAAAAGUACUUUAAAUCACUAACACCUUUGGGGCUGAGUCCUGGCUCAAUAUUGUCAAUGUGGGCUGCAGCCUCGCAGCCCCCGUAAAUUCGGCGUCUAUGAAUACAUAUAUAUCCAUCGAGUUUAUUAGAUAAAUUAGUUAUAACUUAUAAGUCACUAAUAACUAAACCCUCAAUUAUUCAAUAAUAAAUUCAAAUAUUCAAAUAGAACUUUUGUGGGAUGGUGAUUUUCUGUUAAACGCCAUUCAAUUAUUAUUAUUAUUAUUAUUAUUGUUAACGAUAUUUUUGCAUUUAUGUUUAAAACGAUAUACCUAUUUUAGUAAAGAGAUAUAUAGAUAACAGUUAUUAGAUGUUUAAAUAAAACCAAAAUAAAAAUUAUAUUUAUUUUACCAUUAUUAUCAGGGUGUUUCAGGAUAUUCUGGCCAAAUAAUUUUCUAUAUUUAGAUUGAUUUUUUUUCUAAAAAGACAAAAUUAUUAUAAUUUUUUUUGUUUGUUUAUGAAUACAUAAAAAUAUACUUAAUUAUAAUUGUUAGAAACAUAUAUUUAUUUAAACUUUAUUAUAUAGUUAUAUUAUUGUAUAUUAUUAUUGUUUUUCAUAUAAUUUGUGUGUUUGUACCUAUCUACCAAUAUCUUAUAUAACAACUAUCUUAUAAAGUUAUAAUACAAUAAUAAUUAUUGUGCAAUUUGGGUGUAACACUAAAAUUGACUUUUCAACGUUCAUUUUCGCUUGUGGCUUCUUACAUUUCACGACACUUAAAUUAUUAUUACCAUUGCAAUACCAAACUAUAACGACUUAAAUUUUCUAUUAAGACGAUUUUUCAUUUCCAAUUUUUUUUUUUGUUUUUCUGAAAGGUAAUAUUUUUUCAAUAGUAAUUUAUAUAACGAUUUAAUAGUUAUGUUAUAGUUUGGCCAGAAUUACUUUUUUAAACAUUUUAUCCACAGUAUGGCCCGAAAAGUUAUAUCACUUUCUAUACAUAAAUAAAUUGUUUAUUAAUUAUAUUAGAGGAGAACUUUUUUUAAAAAAAAUAUAAUUAAAUUCGAAUCGAUUUAGUGUCUUAUAAUAUAAUAUUUAAGUAUUUAAACUUACACGGUAUAGUUCGAUGUCCAUUUGUGUUAUCAAUUAAUUUAACCAUUAUUGCUAAUGGCUAAUCCAAUCAAGUACAUACCUAAUAAUAAAAUAAUACUAUUUCAGAUAAAAAAGCUAUUUUCUCGCAGUUAUAUCUUUUAGGGCCAUUCUGAUUAUUUGUCAUCGAUAUAAUAAUAUAUAAUCGUUUGUAAUUAAAUAUUAUUAUUACAUUCAAUUUUUUUUUUUUUUUUUGAGCAUGAAAUCUGAAAAAAACGAUUUUUUUUAUAAUAAUGUACAAAUUAAAAAUUGUCCAUAAAACAUAAUAUACAAC